GAUGAACGCUGGCGGCGUGCUUAACACAUGCAAGUCGAACGAUGAAGCCCACUUGUGGGUGGAUUAGUGGCGAACGGGUGAGUAACACGUGAGUAACCUGCCCUUGACUCUGGGAUAAGCCUGGGAAACUGGGUCUAAUACCGGAUAUGACCUUCCAUCGCAUGGUGGUUGGUGGAAAGCUUUUGUGGUUUUGGAUGGACUCGCGGCCUAUCAGCUUGUUGGUGGGGUAAUGGCCUACCAAGGCGACGACGGGUAGCCGGCCUGAGAGGGUGACCGGCCACACUGGGACUGAGACACGGCCCAGACUCCUACGGGAGGCAGCAGUGGGGAAUAUUGCACAAUGGGCGCAAGCCUGAUGCAGCGACGCCGCGUGAGGGAUGACGGCCUUCGGGUUGUAAACCUCUUUCAGUAGGGAAGAAGCGUAAGUGACGGUACCUGCAGAAGAAGCGCCGGCUAACUACGUGCCAGCAGCCGCGGUAAUAC
rnacentral:rRNA from 1 species